GACGAACGCUGGCGGCGUGCUUAACACAUGCAAGUCGAACGGAAAGGCCCUGCUUUUGUGGGGUGCUCGAGUGGCGAACGGGUGAGUAACACGUGAGUAACCUGCCCUUGACUUUGGGAUAACUUCAGGAAACUGGGGCUAAUACCGGAUAGGAGCUCCUGCUGCAUGGUGGGGGUUGGAAAGUUUCGGCGGUUGGGGAUGGACACGCGGCUUAUCAGCUUGUUGGUGGGGUAGUGGCUUACCAAGGCUUUGACGGGUAGCCGGCCUGAGAGGGUGACCGGCCACAUUGGGACUGAGAUACGGCCCAGACCCCUACGGGAGGCAGCAGUGGGGAAUAUUGCACAAUGGGCGGAAGCCUGAUGCAGCAACGCCGCGUGCGGGAUGACGGCCUUCGGGUUGUAAACCGCUUUCGCCUGUGACGAAGCGUGAGUGACGGUAAUGGGUAAAGAAGCACCGGCUAACUACGUG
rnacentral:rRNA from 1 species